CUUGCACCGGUGGGGUCCCUUGGCCUGGCCUGUGCCCUCUUGCAAUCCGGGACCCCUCAGGGGAUGUCAGAGAGCUGGUUUUGGCCCGAUCCCACAGGCCAGGCCAAGGGACCCCACUGGUGCAUG
rnacentral:pre_miRNA from 1 species